AGCAGUAGCCGCGGUAAUACGGAGGGUGCAAGCGUUAAUCGGAAUUACUGGGCGUAAAGCGCACGCAGGCGGUCUGACAAGUCAGAUGUGAAAUCCCCGGGCUUAACCUGGGAACUGCAUUUGAAACUGUCAGGCUGGAGUCUUGUAGAGGGGGGUAGAAUUCCAGGUGUAGCGGUGAAAUGCGUAGAGAUCUGGAGGAAUACCGGUGGCGAAGGCGGCCCCCUGGACAAAGACUGACGCUCAGGUGCGAAAGCGUGGGGAGCAAACAGGAUUAGAUACCCGCGUAGUCCCUGUCUCUUAUAA
rnacentral:rRNA from 1 species